rnacentral:rRNA from 1 species
UACGUAGGGCGCAAGCGUUAUCCGGAAUUAUUGGCGUAAGCGCUCGUAGGCGGCUUGUCGCGUCGGCUGUGAAACCUGGGCUACAACGUCCGGCCUGCAGCCGAUACGGCAAGCUAGAAUUCGGUAGGGAGACUGGAAUUCCUGGUGUAGCGGUGAAUGCGCAGAUAUCAGGAGGAACACCGGUGGCGAAGGCGGUCUCUGGCCGAUAUUGACGCUGAGGAGCGAAGCGUGGAGCGAACAGG